AACGGUCUAUACCUGCGGUACCUGCGGAGGGAUCAUUAUUGAAUAAUUUGCCUUGAUAGGUUGUUGCUGGCCUCUUGAGGCAUGUGCACGCCUGUCUUGACUCUAUUCAUCCACCUGUGCACCUAUUGUAGUCCUUUACUCUUUGAUAGUCAAGAAAAACAGGCUGUUGUUCAGUUGAAACACACUGGAUUUGAGGAUUGCCUUCUUGGCUCUCCUCUCUCUGGCUUUGUGAAAUCUUGU
rnacentral:misc_RNA from 1 species